rnacentral:rRNA from 1 species
AACGAACGCUGGCGGCAGGCUUAACACAUGCAAGUCGAGCGCCCCGCCAGGGGCGCGGCCGACGGGUGAGUAACGCGUGGGAACGUACCUUUUGGUUCGGAACAACUCCGGGAAACUGGAGCUAAUACCGGAUAAGCCCUAACGGGGAAAGAUUUAUCGCCGAAAGAUCGGCCCGCGUCUGAUUAGCUAGUUGGUGAGGUAACGGCUCACCAAGGCGACGAUCAGUAGCUGGUCUGAGAGGAUGAUCAGCCACACUGGGACUGAGACACGGCCCAGACUCCUACGGGAGGCAGCAGUGGGGAAUAUUGGACAAUGGGCGCAAGCCUGAUCCAGCCAUGCCGCGUGAGUGAUGAAGGCCUUAGGGUUGUAAAGCUCUUUUGUCCGGGAAGAUAAUGACUGUACCGGAAGAAUAAGCCCCGGCUAACUUCGUG